AUGCACGCUGGCGGCGUGCCUAAUACAUGCCAGUCGAGCGAACAGACGAGGAGCUUGCUCCUCUGACGUUAGCGGCGGACGGGUGAGUAACACGUGGAUAACCUACCUAUAAGACUGGGAUAACUUCGGGAAACCGGAGCUAAUACCGGAUAAUAUAUUGAACCGCAUGGUUCAAUAGUGAAAGACGGUUUUGCUGUCACUUAUAGAUGGAUCCGCGCCGCAUUAGCUAGUUGGUAAGGUAACGGCUUACCAAGGCAACGAUGCGUAGCCGACCUGAGAGGGUGACCGGCCACACGGGAAGAGAGACCGGGCCCAGACACCGGCGGGAGGAGCCAGGGGGAAUUCUCCGGCAAGGGGCGAAGGCCGGAGGGACCACCGCCGCGGGAGGGAUAAAGGUUUUCGGUUCUAAAACCUUUUUUAUGGGGAAAAAACAAAUGGGAAAGAAACUAUGCCGUUCUUGACGUUACCAAAUAAGAAAGCCACGGCUAACUACGUC
rnacentral:rRNA from 1 species